CCCGCAAACCUCGGCUAGCCCGGCCCCGGCGGGGAGUCCUCCCGGCGCUCAGAAGAACAGCACAGGACACGUCAGUCUUACCACUUCCGCCCUCAUCGGCGGGGCCUCAGCCGGGCGGAAAGCUCCUUUCCCGGAGCCUAACUCGGCCGUUGGAACCUUACGCGGCCGGUGUCCGGGGGCGGGGUCCGAGUCGGGAGCGCCCGCCUUCUGGCCUAAAAGCGGUGCCAGUCGCGCACGCCCAGCGACGGCUUGGGAGACGGAGGACGGGCGGGUGGCUGGUCCCGCACCUAGUGCGUGCCCGGUGCGUCUGCCGGCAGAACCUGUGGGACUCGCCGCAGGUCGCGGAGGCCGAACCCUGAGAGGCGGUCCAUGGCCCCCAACCCGGGCCGGGGUGAGCUUGGGGCGUCGCUCUGCAAGGAUCCUGGAGUCUGAGCCUCGCCUCACACCACUCCCACCCGUCAUGGGUGUCCCCAGCCGAAAAUAAAUAAAAGUGUUUUCCCGGAGCUGUACUGGAGGCCUCCCAUUCCCUACCGUGACCAUUCCGUGCCCGACGAUAAGCGAGCCUGGGCCUGAUCUGGUGCUGAGGCACGCAGAGAGACAGGGUUUCUGCCCCGUAAUCCCGUGAGUUGGGCAGCCUGACAGAGUAAUUGCAAAUUGGAGCUAAUUUAAGGAGGAUCUGCCAUCAGGGACGGAGUUCCUCUGGAGAUCAGACCCAGAGGCAGUGACUUGCCUGUGGCCACCUGGGAGCAAAGUGUAAAGAAGCCGA